rnacentral:lncRNA from 1 species
CAGGUAUUGUGAGGAGAGGGUUCUCAUUUGAGCUUUGCCUCUGUUUGCUGUGGAACUUACCAGUUGACUUCUCUCUGGGUCUUAGUUUCUCUAUUUAUAAAAUGGGGCUGAGAAAGGUCUCCAAGGCCCCUUUUUGUUCUGGGAACCCUUGGAUGAUUUGUAAACCUAUAUUUUUAAAUUUCAAAGACAAUGCGGCCUCUCCUCAUCCGAAUAUUAGGGAAAAAACUCACUCCCUUUCCAAGGGAGGCCUGCCUGAUAACUGACCAUGGGAUUUCCAAAUUGGUGCUACUGAAAACCUUUGCAGCCAAGAGGCCUGGGCAUCCUGCCUGUGUUGGGGGACCCAUUGGCCUGGUC